GCGGCUUUGGCUCAGUGGUUUCAUGUGCAGAAAGAGCGUCUGCUUUACACGCAGAAUGUCGGGAGUUCAAUUCUCUCAAGUCGUA
rnacentral:tRNA from 1 species